GAUGUCCGUCCAUUGAUACAAACCGAAGAUGGAGAAAAUUAUGCUACAGUGGUUGGGUACAGUGCUUUCUUACAUUGCGAGUUCUUUGCUUCACCUGAGGCAGUGGUGUCCUGGCAGAAGGUGGAAGAAGUGAAACCCCUGGAGGGCAGGCAGUAUCAUAUCUAUGAAAAUGGCACAUUGCAGAUCAACAGAACCACCGAAGAAGAUGCUGGGUCAUACUCAUGUUGGGUAGAAAAUGCUAUAGGAAAAACUGCAGUCACAGCCAAUUUGGAUAUUAGAAGUAUUUUUAUUUCACUGUUACUUUGCAUGAAUUGUCACAUGGGUUCAGUCUGACUUCAUUUGCCCAAAUGGAAUAAUACAAUUUAAGUUGGAGUACCAGAUAAAGUUCUUUGAACCGUU
rnacentral:sRNA from 1 species